AUUGAACGCUGGCGGCAGGCCUAACACAUGCAAGUCGAGCGGAUGAAGGGAGCUUGCUCCUGGAUUCAGCGGCGGACGGGUGAGUAAUGCCUAGGAAUCUGCCUGGUAGUGGGGGAUAACGUCCGGAAACGGGCGCUAAUACCGCAUACGUCCUGAGGGAGAAAGUGGGGGAUCUUCGGACCUCACGCUAUCAGAUGAGCCUAGGUCGGAUUAGCUAGUUGGUGGGGUAAAGGCCUACCAAGGCGACGAUCCGUAACUGGUCUGAGAGGAUGAUCAGUCACACUGGAACUGAGACACGGUCCAGACUCCUGCGGGAGGCAGCAGUGGGGAAUAUUGGACAAUGGGCGAAAGCCUGAUCCAGCCAUGCCGCGUGUGUGAAGAAGGUCUUCGGAUUGUAAAGCACUUUAAGUUGGGAGGAAGGGCAGUAAGUUAAUACCUUGCUGUUUUGACGUUACCGACAGAAUAAGCACCGGCUAACUUCGUG
rnacentral:rRNA from 1 species